UACCAGCACCCCGAGUGGUUGGGACGAUUAUUGGGCCUAAAGCAUCCGUAGCCGGUCCUACAAGUCUUCCGUUAAAUCCACCUGCUUAACAGAUGGGCUGCGGAAGAUACUAUAGGGCUAGGAGGCGGGAGAGGCAAGCGGUACUCAGUGGGUAGGGGUAAAAUCCUCUGAUCCAUUGAAGACCACCAGUGGCGAAGGCGGCUUGCCAGAACGCGCUCGACGGUGAGGGAUGAAAGCUGGGGAGCAACCGG
rnacentral:rRNA from 1 species